CCUACGGGGGGCUGCAGUGAGGAAUAUUGGUCAAUGGGCGUAAGCCUGAACCAGCCAAGUCGCGUGAGGGAUGAAGGUUCUAUGGAUUGUAAACCUCUUUUAUAAGGGAAUAAAGUGCGGGACGUGUCCCGCUUUGUAUGUACCUGAUGAAUAAGGAUCGGCUAACUCCGUGCCAGCAGCCGCGGUAAUACGGAGGAUCCGAGCGUUAUCCGGAUUUAUUGGGUUUAAAGGGUGCGUAGGCGGCCUUUUAAGUCAGCGGUGAAAGUCUGUGGCUCAACCAUAGAAUUGCCGUUGAAACUGGGAGGCUUGAGUAUGUUUGAGGCAGGCGGAAUGCGUGGUGUAGCGGUGAAAUGCAUAGAUAUCACGCAGAACCCCGAUUGCGAAGGCAGCCUGCCAAGCCAUGACUGACGCUGAUGCACGAAAGCGUGGGGAUCAAACAGGAUUAGAUACCCUUGUAGUC
rnacentral:rRNA from 1 species